GUACAGUACAUAUACACAAAACAGUCACUUUUCAGUUCGUGGUCGUGCCGUCAGAUGUCGCGUUGCAGCCGCUGUGAAUAGUUUUAACCACACUGACCUCGGUAGUGGCAUGUAUAAGUUUGGCGAGUCCCGCGCACAACGGCGUGGGCUGUGACAGCUUGAGCGUAAAGCAAGCGGGGAGCAUCGCACUAUUCUGCGGCACCAGUUGAGCGUAUACAGGACGCUGUCCGCCCGAUAUAAUAGGCGACAACUGCAGCUUAUUUGGCGUCGAACCUUCUAGAAGGACGGUCGCCGAAUGUCCAAUAGGCGUG